rnacentral:lncRNA from 1 species
UAUGGUUACACAACAAAGAAGUAUACUCAAAAAUGCUAUAAGCAUCUUAAUGCACUAAAACAAUAUUACAUUAGUUUCCAUAAUUGGUCUUGUGGUUUCACAACAAACCUAAUAUGGUUUGUGACAUAAUAAUGUCCUAGCAUGAAGGAAGGCCUUAAUGUAGUGAAUACAACACUAAGUAACCCAGCCAAGAAUUAAAUUAAUCUAAUCAGCCAGGUAAGUGGGAGAGAGGUGGGGGUCCCCCCGUUGCUUUCCUUAGAUACCAAUAAAUUGGCC